rnacentral:rRNA from 1 species
GGACGACGUCAAGUCAUCAUGGCCCUUACGUGUAGGGCUACACACGUGCUACAAUGGCGCAUACAGAGUGCUGCGAACUCGCGAGAGUAAGCGAAUCACUUAAAGUGCGUCGUAGUCCGGAUUGGAGUCUGCAACUCGACUCCAUGAAGUCGGAAUCGCUAGUAAUCGCGUAUCAGAAUGACGCGGUGAAUACGUUCCCGGGCCUUGUACACACCGCCCGUCACACCAUGGGAGUGGGUUGCUCCAGAAGUAGAUAGUCUAACCCUCGGGAGGACGUUUACCACGGAGUGAUUCAUGACUGGGGUGAAGUCGUAACAAGGUAGCCCUAGGGGAACCUGGGGCUGGAUCACCUCCUUAUACGA